rnacentral:rRNA from 1 species
ACGAACGCUGGCGGCGCGCCUAACACAUGCAAGUCGAACGGAGUCAAGAGGAGCUUGCUUUUCUUGACUUAGUGGCGAACGGGUGAGUAACGCGUGAGUAACCUGCCCUGGAGUGGGGGACAACAGUUGGAAACGACUGCUAAUACCGCAUAAGCCCACGGAUCCGCAUGGAUCUGCGGGAAAAGGAUUUAUUCGCUUCAGGAUGGACUCGCGUCCAAUUAGCUAGUUGGUGAGGUAACGGCCCACCAAGGCGACGAUUGGUAGCCGGACUGAGAGGUUGAACGGCCACUUUGGGACUGAGACACGGCCCAGACUCCUACGGGAGGCAGCAGUGGGGGAUAUUGCACAAUGGGGGAAACCCUGAUGCAGCGACGCCGCGUGGAGGAAGAAGGUUUUCGGAUUGUAAACUCCUGUCGUUAGGGACGAUAAUGACGGUACCUAACAAGAAAGCACCGGCUAACUACGUG